UCUGAGCCCAGCACAAGAGCGUCAUGAGUUACAGUGAGAGAAGGAGCUGGAGUCACAAGUGGCCACCACUCAGAGGGAACAUGAGAUGCAUCGGGAGGAGGCAGAGAAAGAGCAGCAGAGUCGAGAGCAGAGGCAGAAACCAUGCAGGCAGUCAUCAUGUUGUUGAAUGCCAAUAUUGCAGCCACCCAAGAAAGUCUGCGAGCCUAACAGACGAGGGCCAAAGCCCAGGCUAGGAGACAAGAGGAGGAGAAGAGACAGCUGAGAGAGUCCCUAUAGACACAGGCUAUCAACAGCACCAAACACAUGUACCAACAGUGGUAGCUCCAGGAAUUCCACCAAAAGAAAGAAGAAUUUGAGGAGAAGCAGAAAUCCAAACGGGUGGAAAUCGUUUAAAAGUUACUGCUGAAAUAGAUGUUAGAGAGACGCAAGAGUGACACCUGGCUCUGCAGGGGAGAUCUCCAGAGAAGGUCCUUCAGAGCCUUGAUCCACAGCUGGCAGAAACAAAGGAAGAGAAAAUAAAACGAGUGAGUGGAAAUAUCACAGACGAAGAUGAA